GUGCCGUUGAAACUGGCGAGCUAGAGUGCACAAGAGGCAGGCGGAAUGCGUGGUGUAGCGGUGAAAUGCAUAGAUAUCACGCAGAACCCCGAUUGCGAAGGCAGCCUGCUAGGGUGCGACAGACGCUGAGGCACGAAAGCGUGGGUAUCGAACAGGAUUAGAUACCCUGGUAGUCCACGCAGUAAACGAUGAAUACUAACUGUUUGCGAUACAAUGUAAGCGGUACAGCGAAAGCGUUAAGUAUUCCACCUGGGGAGUACGCCGGCAACGGUGAAACUCAAAGGAAUUGACGGGGGCCCGCACAAGCGGAGGAACAUGUGGUUUAAUUCGAUGAUACGCGAGGAACCUUACCCGGGCUCAAACGCAGGGGGAAUAUAUAUGAAAGUAUAUAGCUAGCAAUAGUCACCUGCGAGGUGCUGCAUGGUUGUCGUCAGCUCGUGCCGUGAGGUGUCGGCUUAAGUGCCAUAACGAGCGCAACCCCUAUCGACAGUUACUAACGGGUGAAGCCGAGGACUCUGUCGAGACUGCCGGCGCAAGCCGCGAGGAAGGUGGGGAUGACGUCAAAUCAGCACGGCCCUUACGUCCGGGGCGACACACGUGUUACAAUGGCAGGUACAGAAGGCAGCCAGUCAGCAAUGACGCGCGAAUCCCGAAAACCUGUCUCAGUUCGGAUUGGAGUCUGCAACCCGACUCCAUGAAGCUGGAUUCGCUAGUAAUCGCGCAUCAGCCAUGGCGCGGUGAAUACGUUCCCGGGCCUUGUACACACCGCCCGUCAAGCCAUGGAAGCCGGGAGUACCUGAAGCAUGCAACCGCAAGGAGCGUACGAAGGUAAUACCGGUAACUGGGGCUAAGUCGUAACAAGGUAGCCGUACCGGAAGGUGCGGCUG
rnacentral:rRNA from 1 species